GGGUUGUGAGGUUAAGCGACUAAGCGUACACGGUGGAUGCCCUGGCAGUCAGAGGCGAUGAAGGACGUGCUAAUCUGCGAUAAGCGUCGGUAAGGUGAUAUGAACCGUUAUAACCGGCGAUUUCCGAAUGGGGAAACCCAGUGUGUUUCGACACACUAUCAUUAACUGAAUCCAUAGGUUAAUGAGGCGAACCGGGGGAACUGAAACAUCUAAGUACCCCGAGGAAAAGAAAUCAACCGAGAUUCCCCCAGUAGCGGCGAGCGAACGGGGAGGAGCCCAGAGCCUGAAUCAGUGUGUGUGUUAGUGGAAGCGUCUGGAAAGGCGCGCGAUACAGGGUGACAGCCCCGUACACAAAAAUGCACAUACUGUGAGCUCGAUGAGUAGGGCGGGACACGUGGUAUCCUGUCUGAAUAUGGGGGGA
rnacentral:rRNA from 1 species